rnacentral:rRNA from 1 species
CCGUUCCCAUGCCGAACACGGAAGUUAAGCUCUUCAGCGCCGAUGGUAGUUGGGGGCUUCCCCCUGCGAGAGUAGGACAUCGCCAGGC